rnacentral:rRNA from 1 species
GGAUCAUUGUCGAAAUCGAACGGAAGAACGACCCGCGAAUCGUCAUUGCGUAGUAGACAGAGCCCGUGAGCACCUAACGCUCACGGGUCUCGCGUCGCGUCGGCGCGGGUGUACUCGAGACCCGCGUCGUACCGGCGGACAAACAACGUCAGCACGGAUCGUGCCAAGGAGCUGCAUGGAGAGAAUCGUCGUCCCCCGCCUUUGAUAGUCCUCGACGCGGGACGGGGGACGUACGCAAUCUCUACUCAAAAGUCUAAACGACUCUCGGCAACGGAUAUCUCGGCUCUUGCAUCGAUGAAGAACGUAGCGAAAUGCGAUACUUGGUGUGAAUUGCAGAAUCCCGUGAACCAUCAAUUCUUUGAACGCAAGUUGCGCCCGAAGCCAUUCGGCCGAGGGCACGCCUGCCUGGGCGUCGUGAAUCCCCUUGCCCCUAGGCACCCGCACGAGCAUCGGCGGGGACAUAUGCUCGGGCGCAGAAUAUGGUCUCCCGUGGGAUCGGCAUGCACGGCAUGUCGAGGUGCGGUUGGCCGAAAAUCGAGCAUGGCGGUGACGGGCACCACGGCGUUCGGUGGAUCGAAUGAGAUUGGCUGCGUCGUGGGCUCGGCAUGCGGCGGGCUCCGGACUUUGAAUAUCCCCGAGUGCGAUCCCAGGUCAGGCGGGGCUACCCGCUGAGUUUAAGCAUAUCAAUAAGCGGAGGAAAAGAAACUAACGAGGAUUCCCUUAGUAGCGGC